CAAACAGAUAGAACAACAAUAACAACCAAUUAACAUGUUUUCUAACGAUUCGAACACAGAUUUUCGGCAUCCCAGGCGGUUCAGUGUGUUCGCCCGAAAACCCAGCAAAAAAUUCUAAGUAAACUCGAAGAACAAUAACAUCUGCUACCACAAUUACCAUCACCAACUUUGUGCCCAUGAAGCGUAAUUAUUUCCUGCCCUGAAUUCAGCUCUAAUUUUUAGUAAUUGUGUAGCGGAAAAAUAUACUAAUUCUAACACGAGAACUAAUUUUUUGCAAAAAAUUUUAGUGCUGAAACCAGCGCAAUUUGGUGCACUAGUGUAAGCGGGUGCGUGGUAAAUAAAAACAAGUAAAAAGA
rnacentral:sRNA from 1 species